rnacentral:rRNA from 1 species
GAUGAACGCUGGCGGCGUGCCUAAUACAUGCAAGUCGAGCGAACCACUUCGGUGGUGAGCGGCGAACGGGUGAGUAACACGUGGGUUAUCUGCCCAUCAGACGGGGACAACGAUUGGAAACGAUCGCUAAUACCGGAUAGGACGAAAGUUUAAAGGUGCUUCGGCACCACUGAUGGAUGAGCCUGCGGCGCAUUAGCUAGUUGGUAGGGUAAAGGCCUACCAAGGCGACGAUGCGUAGCCGACCUGAGAGGGUGAACGGCCACACUGGGACUGAGACACGGCCCAGACUCCUACGGGAGGCAGCAGUAGGGAAUCUUCGGCAAUGGGCGAAAGCCUGACCGAGCAACGCCGCGUGAAUGAUGAAGGCCUUCGGGUUGUAAAAUUCUGUUAUAAGGGAAGAAUGGCUCUAGUAGGAAAUGGCUAGAGUGUGACGGUACCUUAUGAGAAAGCCACGGCUAACUACGUGCCAGCCGCCGCAGUAAAAC